rnacentral:rRNA from 1 species
GACGAACGCUGGCGGCGUGCUUAACACAUGCAAGUCGAACGAUGAAGAAGAGAAACGCGAACUUCGGUUCAAAUUUCACUUCGGAUUAGUGGCAGACGGGUGAGUAACGCGUGAGCAACCUACCUCUUACAAAGGGAUAGCCUCGGGAAACCGUGAUUAAUACCAUAUGACACAUUCAUAAGGCAUCUUAAGAAUGUUAAAGCUACGGCGGUAAGAGAUGGGCUCGCGUCCCAUUAGCUAGUUGGUGAGGUAACGGCCCACCAAGGCGACGAUGGGUAACCGGCAGGGGGGGGUGAGCGGUCAAAUGGAAACGGAGCCCCGAACCAAACCCCUGGGGGGGGAGGCAGGGGGGAUUAUAGCACAAGGGGGGCACCUCUGAUGCGGCGCCGCCGGGAGAGGGAGGAAGUAUUUCUUUAAGAAAGCCUCUUUUUUAGGGAAAAAAAAGGACGGCACCAAAGGAAAAACCCCCGAAAAAAUACGU